GCAUUGCUCAUUCCACAUGCAAUUAUUUAUUUAUGUAUGCAUGGUUUCCUCAGCAUACCUCCCUUAGAACACUUGGGUUAUCAAUUCUGGAAAUCAAUAAAACACAUCUGAUCAUUUCCUAUUGGCUUCUACUGACUUUGAAUGCACUUCAGUUCUUUCCUGCUGUUAUCAUCCUGAAAAAGCGAAACGUGCUGUUAAAGACCAGAUUCUCACAGUGCAGCAUUGUCUCAUUUGAGAACAAGGUGCAACUGGAUCCCCCACGGAGGAGUAGCUCUCUGUACUGUUCCUCAGAGUCCCAAAGGAACUGUUUAGAGCAAAGGGCUGCGGACUGCUCAGCUGUGCUAACUUACAAAAAGAUCUCCACUCAUAGAAACAGCAGUAGCCCAGUUCCUUUGGUGAUCAGUGCUGCAGUACGUGCACGGCAAUGAACUGAUGAAAGGAGUAGUUUGCUUAAUAACAAUCAGGAUUGACAGAUAAAACACAAGACAGGAGGUGACAAACUGACUGGCAAGAGUAGACACUUGGGACAAUAAGUAGUUUUGAUUCUUCAUCGGACAGUCAUCUAUGAAAUAAAAUUCAGCAAAGGUAAACUGCUGUGACACCAGAAUGAUUACUACCAGAAGCACCUCCCUGCAACUUGCAUUCUAGGAGAACAGUUUGAAUACUUUCACUCGUGGAAAAUGAAAUAGCACAGCGGAUGCCCACAGAUGCUAAGGACAGUGGAUUUAUGUCCUGGAUGAUUAGAAGUUCUGCAUGUGGGAGAGAGGUGCCCCAGUCUGAAGAUGCUCAACGAUGCUUCUGUACACGAGGCACUACUGAAAGAUGAAGUGGCUCUUUGAACAGUAAGGCAUAUAUAAUGGCACCCCAGUUUAAAGCCACUUGGUUCAGAGAGUGCAACUGUGAGAGCUGAACCCUCCCAAGCAGAGCAGUGUGGAGCAGAGGAAGCACUACAAACUCUGGAAGCUUCCAUCACCGAGGGAAAGAACUCUGAGCUGGUUUUACAACAGCAGAACAUUGUCUGGCUGAAGCAUUAUGACAGAAAGGGAUAGUAAUACAGCUGUUAAAAGUUUGCUCUCUUCUGUACUCAAGGAAUCCAUCAAAGAACUCUUCUAGAAGAAGAGCCCAUAUGGGGAGUAAGACAGCAUGAUGUAUGAAUCCCAUCGCUGAAAUCAACUCUUGGAUUCAACAGUGCCAUUUGAACGGACAAAACCAUUAUUUUCUUUAGCCAUUCAAGCAAGGGAAACAUACUAACUCAAUUGCCAGCAUAGCUACCAGAAGGAAAUUGUGUAUGCUUUUUAGUAUUCAAGUCCUUGCUCUAUUGCCUUACUCAUAUGAAAUUCAGCAUCUCUUUUGAAAACAGCAAAACAAUGACUUUGUCUCCAUUUUAAUUUGGAAGGAGUCCAAAUUAAGCUAUUAUGAGAGAUAAAUGAUAUAAUGAGAGUUGCAUGCAAUUUACUGAAAAAAAAAAUGAACAAGCAAAAUGACCUCUCAAAUGUUUGCAUUUUUCUUUUUUGAACUUACUGAAAUUUUUAUGUUCUAGGUAGUGAAGUCAAGUUUCAUAUUCAGCUUUCCUGUUAAUGUUAACAUGUACAUGACAGGUUCCAACUAAGCAGAAAAAUAGGACAUUAGGAUGCCAACCUAGCGUUCCGUUAUUAUCAAGAAUAAAUGAACUCAACUUAAACAGAGUUUCUAUAUUAACUAUUUCCAGAAUACACUCCUAUGCAGAACACUGUCUCGUAGGAAUUUGACUGGCAAAUAUCAGAUAUUCUGGCACUGAAAAGAAAAUCUGAGAACCUUUGUUACUGAAGCUGUAGUGGUGAACAAAAAUAGACUGCAAGCACUGGUGGAAACAUGGGCUACAGGGCCCUGUGAUCACAAACCUUCUGAGCAGGAAAGUCUGCCCGCUUAUAGAAAAGGUCAUCUUCAGUUUUGCAGCUCCAGGCUUUUAAUCUUAAGUAAGCCAAUCAGAUCUGAAUUAAGUGAUGAACGUAUUAUGUUAAUGAGCAUAAUUAUGCUAAUGAACAUUCCUUCAAGGAAUCUUCAUUCUUGAUUCAUUAGUUAGAUGUUACCAUCUGAAACCAAUGGAAAAUGUUUUGAAAAACUCAAUUAACCCCUCUGGGGUAAUCUUAAGACCUUAACAGACUGUCUUCCAGUGCUACCUCUGUUAUUUAUUCCCAGAUUUGUCUGUAGUCAUCAUUUCACUCAGAGUCCUCUGCCUUUUUAAACUUAUUUUUCUUCUGACAGUUACUUCAACCCUGCCGGAAAAACAAAACAAAACAAAAAUCUAUAAUCAUGUUUUAUUACUGCACUGCAGGCUCUGCAAUCCAGAUCCCAACAGUAUCACCUUCUGAACAAGCAUGGGAAAAUGCUAAAACAGCAGAAAAGUUGUCAGAGCCUGCCUGCACUAUUGACUAACCAGAGACUAGCUUGGGACAGGCACUAUCCAGCCAGCAAAUAGGCAGCUUUCUGCAGUACACUGUGUACUUCUUAGGGAUGGCACUUACUGUUUGGUGCCAGUGUGCUCCCGUGUUACAUUCCUGGUCCCACACAAUUACAUGUGUAUCUAAGGUUGCACUUACACUCCCACCUGUUAAGGUAACACACAGGAAGUAUCAUGGUAAGCUAUUAACAGCACAUGUUUUUACAGGACAGUAGCCUAUUUGUUCAGAUGAAUUCAAGUCACUUAAAAGUUAUUCCAUCCAUGGCUGGUAUUAAUAGCAUCCACACGUGUAACAUUUAUAUCAGUGGACAUAAAUCAGCAUCAGUCUAUUAAAUUCAAAACCACAUCAUUUCGGCUCAGCAGCUGACACUACAGGCUUACAAAAGAAACACUUAACAUAUACUUUUCCAUGAUGAAACGUGAGAAUAUGUCUAUUGAUGGUUACGUGUUCUCUACAAGAAGCCUCUCUGAGCCUUAAGGUUUACUUUCCAUAAUCAGCAGCACCUCCCCAGUGGGUUUUUAAUAUGUUUUAUCAGCUUAGAGUUCCUGAACAUCACACUUGCAUGUGGAAAGGCCAGAGAAUUGCCAGCUCUCGAUCAGCUGCAGUGAAAGCACAGCUUUGUAGUCCCAAAGCCCUGACUAUACCUGGGAGUGCAUACAUGGUAUCUGAUUGAAGUUACAGGUGUUAUAAUUCUCCUCUUGCCAGUGGGUCAUUAUUUCACUCCAUCAAAAGAGAAAAAUAAAACAUGUGAAGAACUCUGCAGUGACCUGCUUAGUCCCACAGAGGUCACAGUAGAGACUGAUUUAUGAUGACUGACAACUGCCUAUGAUUAUGAAAAUUGCUAGCCAGGACAGCAUAUAUUACUGAUGCCUGCUGAAUAGGGCACAGAGAAAUCAUUUUCCCUUUUAGUAUUCCUAAAGGUUUACUGUUCUUAGCUUUAUUCAAAGAAACUUAAGACCCGAGGAAAACAAUGCUGCGUAUAUAAACAGGGCAAACAUUAUGCUGUUAUUUAAAAAUGUCAGCCUGAUACUUGAUGUAAGGUUCUGACUUAAUAUGUAAGGCAAAACAAAUGAGUUUGAAAAUCUCUGUUUAGUGGUUUAGAAAAUGGGAUCUGAGAUUGCUUUAAAGAAGGUCAUAAAGACCUCUCAACCUCUCCUUUUAUUUAUGUUUUCUCAAAUAUAUUGACUGGCUUGAUGGUGCACCACAGACAAAUAUCUACAUGCUUCACAUAAUGAAACAGUGUCAUUACCUUAUCUGGACAAACUCCCAGUGUAAUUGCAACCAAAGUAAAACAGCUCUGAGACUGCAAAGAAGUGUCAAAACAGGAAAUACAAUAGCACAGACCUGAGAUGUUUUCCAUUUGCAGACUUUCAUAUAGGUGUCUUUUUUCAUACUUUUAGCCCUAUAUUGGAAAGCAUAAUUUGAUGAUAGACGUGAAACUGUGUAUUAGUUUUUAUUUUGACAAAUUCAUUAGACAUCACAUAGCUUGAAAAAUGAACCAGGAGGCACUAAGUCAGCCUGAGAAGAUUGUACUUCAUAAACUGAAUUGCUCACAUGGGCAACAUUUUGGUGGAAGUUAUAGAUUUUCUAGCAUAUCCCUGAUAGAUAGCACUAAUAUAACUUCAAUAAAAACUCUGGAUAUGUCAAUAUAAAAUUUUUUCAAGCAUCGAAAGAUGUAAGAUACUUCAGCUAAUAAAUUGGAAGAUUCCCUGUUCCUCAAGGUACACUAACUUACACAUCAGAUUAUAAAGAGUAUUGAAGCCACACAGAGUACAGCAGGCAGCUGUAGGUUUGCUGCUUUUAGAAGUUGCACUAAAUUGAAUUAUCAAUAUAUGAAAGUAAUAAUUGGAAAUUAAGAUCUAGAUGACCCUUUUUGUAAAAAUGUUAGCAUUCUUCAAUUUUUAACUGUUAGAUGAUAGACAAUUUUUCAUAGCUGACAUGACUGAUAGACUGUAUUUGAUGCAAAUAAUUGAUGUUCCUUCUCUCUCUUCCUAACACAUGACCUUUCACUUACUUCCUUAUAUUGUUACCACUUCCAGAUUGAUACGGUAUUGGAAAUGCAAAUGGUUAUCCUUCUUCUGAAAAAACCUUACAGAACCUGAUGUAAGACUUCAUUGGUUACAACUGUAUGGGACAGGAUUGUGUGUAUGUAUAUAUAUAUUUACAUUUGUGGAUGUUUGCGCAUGCACACAAGCAUAAAUACACAGUGUUAGAAUUUCUUUAAGUUAUACAAUUAUUUCUGUAUCUUACAGUGUCCUACCACGCACAAAUUGUAACUGAAAGUAGCUGCAUGAUUAUUUGUACGCAUUCAACAACCAGUGACUGUAAAUAAAAAGAAGAUAUGGAAAUGCACUAACAUUUGAAUAAUGACAGCUUUUAAAAUAGAAAGAAGAUGACUUGGAAGAAAGUUACAGUUUCAAGUAGAAUGCUGGCAGGAAUUUGAGACACUGUUUGGACUUAGAAAAAUCUUCAACUUUUAGUACAAAAAUGUAUUGUGGACAAGACGAAAUCUAGAGUAUCUACCAUACUUUGCACACUAUUUGAUACUUUUGCAAGGCUUGAGAGAGACUUUCUGGCCAACAGUAACAAACAGAUCAUACAGAGUUUGCAGUUACAUAAUAUUUUCCAAAUACUACUGCACUAGAAACUAAAAAACCAUGUUCAAAUGUGUCAGAGGAAAUCAUUGUAAUGCUCUAUUAACACUACAGAGGCAAGCAUUCAAGUCAGGCAUCUGAACACCGUAUGAGCAGUAUGAUGAACGUGCAUAAUUGUAUGACCUGGGGUUAAGAAAAAGUACUCUUCUAAGGGCCCCAAACUCCACAAUAUACCUCAGUGAGAAAACUCUUCUCUUUGCUCGCUCCCAUAUUCUUGACUUGUAGAUUCUUAUAUUUUAAUUACAAGUAUGUAGAUAACUUAGAGUUUGUUGUUUGUUUGGUUUUUUUUUUUCUGUCACAGGCAAAUUUUCUGUACUUCUACGUGGUAUUUGCCUCUAUCUCAACAAAGUAACUAAGAAGUUUCUGUGAAUUAAGAGCAGAGACAAAUAUAUUACAUCUCUUUAACUGAUGAAAGCAGCAGAUUUUCACUGAUCUGCAGGCAGCUGUUCUGUGUUCAGUGGAGUCGGAUGCCCAUCAUUUUCAUUUUUAUAUGAAAAAUGUUUCUUGGAAAACUCAUUAUCCCUAUUCAGGAGCCUUAAUAUAAAAUGAAAUUGGUCAAAAGGAUCUGAACACCUAAUACACAGUUCUGUCAUUCCUGUAUGGAACUUCUGGCAUAAAAGAAAACUGAGAAGGAUCACUAUUAGCAGUGGCCAGCUUUAGCUAAGCACUUCAAAAUGCACAGAACUAGGCAGAGAAUAGAUGAAGCUUUAUGCUGGUCUGACUGCUAGGGAAAUGAAUUUAUGUCUUCAGUAGCAUUUCCUUAGAAGAAUGCAUUGUGACUCCCUGUACACUCUGUAACACAAAGGGAUGAAGAUUUCUUUUGUUUUUGAGUCUCUGGUUUGGUUGUUGGUCAAGUACAACAGAAGGGGAAGAGGGAGUUACAUCUACAUGGUUGAAUAAAUAAAAAGCACUGAUAAAUACCGGAGUAAGAUUUUCCCUUCUGUAAGAAAAUGCAGUUGUUUCCAUAAUAUAUUCAUUAAAUGUAGAAAUGUAAAGGGUGUGUUUUCUUUUAUGUAUUCCCAUUUGACAAAUAAAUAACUGAUUAAUAUCUGUACUGCAUAUUCUUCCAGAAUAAUUAUUUCCUUUUGGAUGAACUCAGAAAACAAGUCCGUGGAUGAUACUAUACCUGUUUCCAGACAAAUACUUGUGAGCAUUCCCAACCUGUUAAAAGGAAG
ensembl:lncRNA